rnacentral:rRNA from 1 species
AUUGAACGCUGGCGGCAUGCCUUACACAUGCAAGUCGAACGGCAGCGCGGGCUUCGGCCUGGCGGCGAGUGGCGGACGGGUGAGUAAUGCAUCGGAACGUGCCCAGGAGUGGGGGAUAACGUAGCGAAAGUUACGCUAAUACCGCAUACGUACUGAGGUAGAAAGCGGGGGAUCGAAAGACCUCGCGCUCAUGGAGCGGCCGAUGUCGGUUUAGCUAUUGGGCGGGGUAAAAGACCACCAAGGCGACGGUCCGGAACGGGUCUGAGAGGACGACCAGCAACACUGGGACGGAGACACGGCCCAGACUCCUACGGGAAGCAGCAGUGGGGAAUCUUGGACAAUGGGGGAAACCCUGAUCCAGCAAUGCCGCGUGUGGGAUGAAGGCCCUCGGGUUGUAAACCACUUUUGGCAGGAAAGAAAUCGCCUGUGCUAAUACCACGGGCGGAUGACGGUACCUGCAGAAUAAGCACCGGCUAACUACGUGCCAGCCGCCGCCGUAA